rnacentral:rRNA from 1 species
UACGGGAGGCAGCAGUGGGGAAUAUUGCACAAUGGGCGCAAGCCUGAUGCAGCAACGCCGCGUGAGCGAUGAAGGUCUUCGGAUUGUAAAGCUCUGUCCUUGAGGACGAAAAAUGACGGUACUCUUGGAGGAAGCCCCGGCUAACUACGUGCCAGCAGCCGCGGUAAU